rnacentral:rRNA from 1 species
AUUGAACGCUGGCGGCAUGCCUUACACAUACAAGUCGAACGGCAGCGCGGACUUCGGUCUGGCGGCGAGUGGCGAACGGGUGAGUAAUACAUCGGAACGUACCCUGUUGUGGGGGAUAACUAGUCGAAAGAUUAGCUAAUACCGCAUACAACCUGAGGGUGAAAGUGGGGGACCGCAAGGCCUCACGCAGCAGGAGCGGCCGAUGUCUGAUUAGCUAGUUGGUGGGGUAAAGGCCCACCAAGGCGACGAUCAGUAGCUGGUCUGAGAGGACGAUCAGCCACACUGGGACCGAGACACGGCCCGGACUCCUACGGGAGGCAGCAGUGGGGAAUUUUGGACAAUGGGGGCAACCCUGAUCCAGCAAUGCCGCGUGUGUGAAGAAGGCCUUCGGGUUGUAAAGCACUUUUGUCCGGAAAGAAAUCGCGCUGGUUAAUACCUGGCGUGGAUGACGGUACCGGAAGAAUAAGCACCGGCUAACUACGUGCCAGCCGCCGCGGUAA